UACGUAGGGGGCGAGCGUUGUCCGGAAUUACUGGGCGUAAAGAGUACGUAGGCGGUUAUGUAAGCGCAAGGUGAAAGGCAUAGGCUCAACCAAUGUCAGCCUUGCGAACUGUGUGACUUGAGUGCAGGAGGGGAAAGCGGAAUUCCUGGUGUAGCGGUGAAAUGCGUAGAUAUCAGGAGGAACACCGGUGGCGAAGGCGGCUUUCUGGACUGUAACUGACGCUGAGGUACGAAAGCGUGGGGAGC
rnacentral:rRNA from 1 species